rnacentral:rRNA from 1 species
CUUGGUCAUUUAGAGGAAGUAAAAGUCGUAACAAGGUCUCCGUAGGUGAACCUGCGGAGGGAUCAUUAUUGAAUGGGGCCUUUUAGCCGCCUUCUUUCAAACCUGUGGAAACGACGAGUGUUUUGGCGCCUCAGUGUGCCGAGUCCAUGCAUUCUAGCCUUGUGUCUGAUUGGAAUAUAAUUUUAAAACUUUCAACAAAGGAUCUCUUGGCUCUCGUAUCGAUGAAGAACGCAGCAAAGCGCGAAAUGUAAUGUGAAUUGCAGAACAUUGUGAAUCAUCGAAUCUUUGAACGCACAUUGCGCCUCCCAUCGAUGGGAGGCAUGCCUGUCUGAGCGUCAUUUAAAACUAUGACCUCUUCGAGUCGUGUUGAGUCUCGCCGUCCGGCGUUUCCUCAAAGUCAUCGUGUCUGAAAGCGGACGAGAUCCAUUAGGACGGACCGUUUGAGGACCUUAAACUCUCUGACUUGACCUCAGAUCAGGUAGGACUACCGCCUGAACUUAAGCAUAUCAAUAAGCGGAGGA